rnacentral:lncRNA from 1 species
UAACAGUAGUGUUGGUCCUGGUCUCCAUGCUGUCAGGUAGAUGAUUAUAACAGUAGUGUUGGUCCUGGUCUCCAGACUGUCAGGUAGAUGAUUAUAACAGUAGUGCUGGUCUCCAGGCUGUCAGGUAGAUGAUUAUAACAGUAGUGUUGGUCUCCAGACUGUCAGGUAGAUGAUUAUAACAGUAGUGUUGGUCCUGGUCUCCAGACUGUCAGGUAGAUGAUUAUAACAGUAGUGUUGGUUUCCAGACUGUCAGGUAGAUGAUUAUAACAGUAGUGUUGGUCUCCAGACUGUCAGGAUGAUGAUUAUAACAGUAGUGCUGGUCUCCAGGCUGUCAGGUAGAUGAUUAUAACAGUAGUGUUGGUUUCCAGACUGUCAGGUAGAUGAUUAUAACAGUAGUGUUGGUUCUGGUCUCCAGGCUGUCAGGUAGAUGAUUAUAGCAGUAGUGUUGGUCUCCAGGCUGUCAGGUUGAUGAAUAUAACAGUAGUGUUGGUCUCCAGGCUGUCAGGUAGAUGAUUAUAACAGUAGUGUUGGUCCUGGUCUCCAGACUGUCAGGUAGAUGAUUAUAACAGUAGUGUUGGUCUCCAGGCUGUCAGGUAGAUGAUUAUAACAGUAGUGUUGGUCCUGGUCUCCAGGCUGUCAGGUAGAUGAUUAUAACAGUAGUGCUGGUCUCCAGGCUGUCAG